rnacentral:rRNA from 1 species
GGACCAUCAUGUCGGUCGUGCCUCGGUACGUACUGGUAUUGUUGGUUUCUCCCUUAUGACGAACCAUGAUGUCAUUAAUUCGGUGUCUUGGGGAAUCAGGACUGUUACUUUGAAAAAAUUAGAGUGUUUAAAGCAGGCUUAUUAGGCUUGAAUACAUUAGCAUGGAAUAAUGAAAUAGGACGAUUGAUCCUAUUUUUGUUGGUUUCUAGGGUUGGCGUA